AUGGUUCCACAGAGUUGCUCUUGGCGUUUUGGUAGGGACUGUGUUCAGGACGCGCUGCCCUCGAGUGGCGUGGCACCGUUAGCGGUGCUGCUGUCCCCCGCAGCGGACUCUGCCUGCCUCUCCCUUUGUGUCCCCUUCAGUGUCUGCACCGUGUCUGUCCCGUGUCUGUCACCGUGUCUGUCACUGUGUCAGCACCGUGUCUGCACCAUGUCUGUCACCGUGUCUGCACCGUGUCUGUCACCGUGUCUGCACUGUGUCUGUCACUGUGUCUUCACCGUGUCUACACCGUGUCUGUCACCGUGUUUGCACCGUGUCUACACCGUGUCUGCACCGUGUCUACACCGUGUCUGUCACCAUGUCUGCACCAUGUCUGUCACUGUGUCUGCACCAUGUCUGUCACUGUGUCUGCACUGUGUCUACACCGUGUCUGUCACCAUGUCUGCACCAUGUCUGUCACCGUGUCUGCACUGUGUAUGCCCCAUGUCUGUCACUGUGUCUGCCCCGUGUCUGUCACCAUGUCUACACCAUGUCUGUCACCAUGUCUGCACCGAGUCUGCACCGUGUCUGCCCCAUGUCUGUCACUGUGUCUGCACCGUGUCUACACCGUGUCUGUCACCAUGUCUGCACCGUGUCUGUCCCGUGUCUGUCACCGUGUCUGCACUGUGUCUGUCACCGUGUCUGCACCGUGUCUGCACUGUGUCUGUCACCGUGUCUGUCACCAUGUCUGCACCGUGUCUGUCACCGUGUCUGCCCCGUGUCUGCACAGUGGAGAGGUGCUAUGUGGGGAGAAGUGUGUGUGUCCAGCUGUGGACAGGUGCUGUGAGUGGGGAGACGUGUGUGUCCAGCUGUGGACAGAUGUGUGUGUGUGGGGAGAAGGGUGUGUUCCCCAACUGUGGACAGGUGCUGUGUGUGGGGAGAAGUGUGUGUUCCCCAGCUGUGUGCAGGUGCUGUGUGUGGGGAGACGUGUGUGUCCAGCUGUGGACAGCUGUGUGUGUGUGGGGAGAAGUGUGUGUGUCUAGCUGUGGACAGGUGCUAUGUGUGGGGAGAUGUGUGUGUCCAGCUGUGGGCACGUGCUGUGUGUGGGGAGAAGUGUGUGUUCUCCAGUGUGGACAGGUGCUGUGUGUGGGAGAAGGGUGUGUUCCCAGCUGUGAACAGGUGUGUGUGUGGGGGGAGAAGUGUCGCUCCCCGUCUUCGUGGAGGAACGACACAGGACCCUGCGCUGUUCUUUCGUCUGCUCAGCCCUCCCCGGGUUUGCUGCUGGUUCUUCCCGGGUUGGCUACUAUCCCUUCCACCUCCGUGGAAGGGCAGUUCCCCCUGGCCACAUUCCCCACUUCCACAGGGGAGCGGCACACCGCCGGCCGGCUCUCUGGGGGCUGCACAGGUGUUCCCUUAGAUGUUCCCCUUAGAUGUUCCUUUAGAUGUUCCUGGUGCAUGCCGUCUCUCUCCUCCUUUAUAGUCCUCCGCCAAUCCCAACUCAGCUGCCCAUAUGCCGAGUACGCUGCUCUCCUCCAAUCAGGAGCGAGUUCUACAGUUUAUUGGCUGAACUGGAGGCACCUGUGUAGAAGCUGUUUUCUUCUCUUCCAGCGCCAUAUUGUGGGAGAGCAGAUGCAUAGAAUAAGUCUUAAUUCCAGUAACUCAGUCUAG
ensembl:lncRNA